AGUUAAGCGAAGUAAGCGUAUACGGUGAAUGCCUAGGCAAUCAGAGGCGAUGAAGGACGUGCUAAUCUGCGAAAAGCAUCGGUAAGCUGAUAUGAAGCGUAAUAACCGAUGAUUUCCGAAUGGGGAAACCCAGUGUAUUCAUACACUAUCGUUUUAUAAAUUCAUAGUUUAACGAGGCAAACCAGGGGAAUUGAAACAUCUUAGUACCCUGAGGAAAAGAAAUCAAAAUGAGAUUCCCUUAGUAGUGGCGAGCGAACGGGGAAAAGCCAAAAGUUAAAAUCAAUAUUAAUUUCAAGAGAAUGAUUUGGAAAAAUCAGCAAUAAAGGGUGAUAGCCCCGUAUCUAAAGUCUUUAUUAUUGUGAACUUUAAUAAGUAGGGCGGGACACGUGUUAUCCUGUCUGAAGAUGGGGGGACCAUCCUCCAAGGCUAAAUACUCCUGAUUGACCGAUAGUGAACUAGUACCGUGAGGGAAAGGUGAAAAGAACCCCGGUGAGGGGAGUGAAAUAGAACCUGAAACCGUAUACGUACAAGCAGUGGGAGCCCCACCACUAAGCUAAAAUGUAUAUCAUUUUUAUUGAUUGAUAUUAAAAUGUUAAUUCCUCUUUCCAGAGGAGGCUUAGUGGUGGGGUGACCGCGUACCUUUUGUAUAAUGGGUCAGCGACUUAUAUUUUGUAGCAAGGUUAACUGAUUAAGGGAGCCGUAGGGAAACCGAGUCUUAACUGGGCGUUAAGUUGCAGGGUAUAGACCCGAAACCCGGUGAUCUAGCCAUGGGCAGGUUGAAAGUUAGGUAACACUAACUGGAGGACCGAACCGACUAAUGUUGAAAAAUUAGCGGAUGACUUGUGGCUAGGGGUGAAAGGCCAAUCAAACCGGGAGAUAGCUGGUUCUCCCCGAAAGCUAUUUAGGUAGCGCCUCGUGGGUUCAUCUUUAGGGGUAGAGCACUGUUUCGGCUAGGGGGUCAUCCCGACUUACCAACCCGAUGCAAACUACGAAUACUAAAGAAUGCGACCACGGGAGACACACGGCGGGUGAUAAUAUCCGUCGUGAAGAGGGAAACAACCCAGACCGCCAGCUAAGGUCCCUAAGUUAUGAUUAAGUGGGAAACGAAGUGGAAAGGCUUAGAUAGCCAGGAUGUUGGCUUAGAAGCAGCCAUCAUUUAAAGAAAGCGUAAUAGCUCACUGGUUGAGUCGGUCUGCGCGGAAGAUGUAACGGGGCUAAAUCAUGCACCGAAGCUGCGGCAGCAAUAUUUUUUUUGCUGGGUAGGGGAGCGUUCUGUAAGCUGUAGAAGGUAGAUUGAAAAGUCUAUUGGAGGUAUCAGAAGUGCGAAUGCUGACAUAAGUAACGAUAAAGCGGGUGAAAAACCCGCUCGCCGAAAAACCAAGGGUUCCUGUCCAACGUUAAUCGGGGCAGGGUAAGUCGACCCCUAAGGCGAGGCUGAAAAGCGUAGUCGAUGGAAAACAGGUUAAUAUUCCUGUACUAAGAUUGUUGCGAAGGGGGGGUGAAGAAGGUUAGGCUAUCCGAGUGACGGAUAUCUCGGUUUAAGCGUGUAGAUGAGUUAUGCAGGAAAAUCCGCAUAACUAUAACAUUGAGGCGUAAUGACGAGCUACUAAGGUAGUGAAGUAGUUGAUACCCUGCUUACAAGAAAAGCCUCUAAGCGAUAGACAAUUAUUAAUCGUACCCAAAACCGACACAGGUGGUUAAGUAGAGAAUACUAAGGCGCUUGAGAGAACUCGGGUGAAGGAACUAGGCAAAAUAGUGCCGUAACUUCGGGAGAAGGCACGCUGACAUUAGGUAAAGAACCGUGCGUUCUGAAGCUGAAGUCAGCCGCAGACAACAGCUGGCUGCAACUGUUUAUUAAAAACACAGCACUGUGCAAACACGAAAGUGGACGUAUACGGUGUGACGCCUGCCCGGUGCUGGAAGGUUAAUUGAUGGGGUAAGCUUUUAUUAAAAAGCAAAGCUCUUGAUCGAAGCCCCAGUAAACGGCGGCCGUAACUAUAACGGUCCUAAGGUAGCGAAAUUCCUUGUCGGGUAAGUUCCGACCUGCACGAAUGGCGUAAUGAUGGCCAGACUGUCUCCACCCGAGACUCAGUGAAAUUGAAUUCGCUGUGAAGAUGCAGCGUACCCGCGGCAAGACGGAAAGACCCCGUGAACCUUUACUAUAGCUUGACACUGAAUAUUGAAUUUUAAUGUGUAGAAUAGGUGGGAGGCUAUGAAGUAUGAGCGUCAGUUUAUAUGGAGCUAACAGUGAAAUACCACCCUUUAAAGUUUGAUGUUCUAACUUCGGUCCGUAAUCCGGACUAAGAACAGUGUCUGGUGGGUAGUUUGACUGGGGCGGUCUCCUCCUAAAGUGUAACGGAGGAGCACAAAGGUUGGCUAAUCACGGUCGGACAUCGUGAGGUUAGUGUAAAGGCAUAAGCCAGCUUAACUGCGAGCGUGACAACGCGAGCAGAUACGAAAGUAGGUCUUAGUGAUCCGGUGGUUCUGAAUGGAAAGGCCAUCGCUCAACGAAUAAAAGGUACUCCGGGGAUAACAGGCUGAUACCGCCCAAGAGUUCAUAUCGACGGCGGCGUUUGGCACCUCGAUGUCGGCUCAUCACAUCCUGGGGCUGUAGUAGGUCCCAAGGGUAUGGCUGUUCGCCAUUUAAAGUGGUACGCGAGCUGGGUUUAGAACGUCGUGAGACAGUUCGGUCCCUAUCUGCCGUGGGCGAAGGAAGAUUGAGAGGGGCUGCUCCUAGUACGAGAGGACCGGAGUGGACGCACCACUGGUGUUCAGGUUGUCAUGCCAAUGGCAUUGCCUGGUAGCUAAGUGCGGAAAAGAUAACCGCUGAAAGCAUCUAAGCGGGAAACUUGCCUCAAGAUAAGUCUUCCCUGACAAAUAAUUGUCCUAUAAGGGGUGUUCGAGAUCAGGACGUAGAUAGGCUGGGUGUGUAAGCGUAGUAAUACGUUAAGCUAACCAGUACUAAUAACCCGAGAGGCUUAACUUC
rnacentral:rRNA from 1 species